rnacentral:rRNA from 1 species
UACAGAGGUCUCAAGCGUUGUUCGGAAUUACUGGGCGUAAAGCGCACGUAGGCGGCUACUCAAGUCAGAGGUGAAAGCCCAGGGCUCAACCCUGGAACUGCCUUUGAAACUAGGUAGCUAGAAUCUUGGAGAGGUCAGUGGAAUUCCGAGUGUAGAGGUGAAAUUCGUAGAUAUUCGGAAGAACACCAGUGGCGAAGGCGACUGACUGGACAAGUAUUGACGCUGAGGUGCGAAAGCGUGGGGAGCAAACAGG